AUUGAACGCUGGCGGCAGGCCUAACACAUGCAAGUCGAACGAGUGGCGGACGGGUGAGUAAUGUGUGGGAAACUGCCUGAUGGAGGGGGAUAACUACUGGAAACGGUAGCUAAUACCGCAUACCAUCGGUUGAGCCCAGAUGGGAUUAGAUUGUUGGUGGGGUAACGGCUCACCAAGGCGACGAUCCCUAGCUGGUCUGAGAGGAUGACCAGCCACACUGGAACUGAGAAACGGUCCAGACUCCUACGGGAGGCAGCAGUGGGGAAUAUUGCACAAUGGGCGCAAGCCUGAUGCAGCCAUGCCGCGGGUAUGAAGAAGGCCUUCGGGUUGUAAAGUACGUUCAGCGGGGAGGCGUUACCCGCAGAAGAAGCACCGGCUAACUCCGUGCCAGCAGCCGCGGUAAUAC
rnacentral:rRNA from 1 species